AUUGAACGCUGGCGGCAGGCCUAACACAUGCAAGUCGAGCGGAUGAAGGGAGCUUGCUCCUGGAUUCAGCGGCGGACGGGUGAGUAAUGCCUAGGAAUCUGCCUGGUAGUGGGGGAUAACGUCCGGAAACGGGCGCUAAUACCGCAUACGUCCUGAGGGAGAAAGUGGGGGAUCUUCGGACCUCACGCUAUCAGAUGAGCCUAGGUCGGAUUAGCUAGUUGGUGGGGUAAAGGCCUACCAAGGCGACGAUCCGUAACUGGUCUGAGAGGAUGAUCAGUCACACUGGAGCUGAGACACGGUCCAGACUCCUACGGGAGGCAGCGGUGGGGACUAUUGGACAAUGGGCGAAAGCCUGAUCCAGCCAUGCCGCGUGUGUGCAGAAGGUCUUCGGGUUGUAAAGCACUUUACGUUGGGAGGAAGGGCAGUAAGUUAAUACCUUGCUGUUUUGACGUUACCAACAGAAUAAGCACCGGCUAACUUCGU
rnacentral:rRNA from 1 species